rnacentral:lncRNA from 1 species
CAUUCAUGUUGAGGCAGAGAACUGACUUGAGCAUCGGACGGUCUUGUCGGAGCAACCCCACCUCCGGUUUAGACUUCUUUUGCAGGUCCCGACGGCGACCGCGACUCCCUCGACUCCAGCUUCUCCGACGUAGGCGGAUUUUUGCACCAACAAGUCUUUUAUUGUGUCAUUCUUCACCUCAAUGCCUAGAUUUUAGAAUUUUUAAUGAAUCCACCUCUUAGACCUGCCA